GCCUCUUUCCCCAACCCAGGAGGCAGAGAAGAGAGAAAGGAAACCUGUUGAACGAGUCUUUCGGGAAAGGAAGCUAAUUGGCCAAGCAGGUGGAACAUUUGCCUAAGAAGGAACAAUCUAUUUAGCCUCCUGUCUCCCUCUCUUGCCCAGGCUGGAGUGCAGUGGUGCCAUCUUCCUGGAUUCAAGUGAUUCUCCUGCCUCAGUCUCCCAGUUUCCUGGGACUACAGGGACUGCUGCUUUCUAACUUCAUGGACUGGGUUAUGACUUCAUGGACUGGUUGCCCCUCCAUUGCUCCUCUGCCUUCUACUCUGCCCUCCCGGUAUACAAGACACUCUGAAUACUCUUUAAUGCCUGUCUUCCUCUGACUACAAGCAACAUAAGAACCCACCACACCGAUUUUAUUCACCAAUGAAUCUCGAGUGCCUCAUUACACAGUAAAUAUUUUUUGACUAACAUUUGAGGAAAAUGUUAUUUCUGGCACAGAGAAAAUAAGAGCAGAGACAUGAAGAUAUGAAAGUGUGUGGCAUAUGUGAGGGACUAUUAAAUUAAAAAUGGAUGUUUUCUUUAAGUAGAGGCUUAUCUCUUUCAUAUGUAACUUAAUUUAACUUUACAGUAAUUAAUUUUUAAACUUAAAUGACUUCAACAUGAAAUUAAGCUAAGAAUAAUUUACAUUUAUGGAGGUAAAAAUUUCAGCCUAUAUUGCUUAUGGUAUCCUUUUAUGUUGUGUAAUUUUCCCCUCUCUUUUUCCAGUUGCAAGGUUAAAAUAUUUGGGAUUGCUGAGAGUGAAAUCUCAAUUCAGAUCUAUUAAUAAAUCUCUGUGGAGUAGUGGAAAAGUUCUGGACUAUGAAUCAGAAGGUCUGUGGUGUCAUUUGAUUUGCCACUAGCUGUUCUCCCUACAUUGAGCAUAUUAGUGACU